UCACUUGAGUAAUACUAGGACGGA
rnacentral:siRNA from 1 species